GGGAAAAACUGAUGACAUAGGGGAGGGAGUGUAUUAGUCCAUUCUCAUACUGCUAUGAAGAAAUACCUGAGACUGGGUAAUUUAUAAAGAAAAAGAGGCUUAAUGGACUCACAGUUCCACAUGGCUGGGGAGGCCUCACAAUUAUGGCAGAAGACAAAGGAGGAACAAAUGCACAUCUUACAUGGCGGCAGGCAAGAGAGCGUGUGCAGGGGAAGUGCCCUAUAUAAAACCGUCAGAUCUUGUGAGACUUGUUCACUAUCACAAGAACAGCACAGGAAAAACCUGUCUUCAAGAUGCAAUUACCUCCCACCAGAUCCGUCCCACAACACAUGGGGAUUAUGGUAGCUACAAUUCAAGAUGAGAUUUGGGUGGGGACAGGGCCAAACCAUAUCAGGGAGUAUGUUUGCCUUUGCCAAGCAGCAUUAAGGGUUUAUGUUCAUGAAUUUAAGAUGGGAGUGGAAGGACUGCUGGAGAUGGAGCAUGUUAGGGGUUAAAUUGUAUGCCCCCCUCAAAAAAAAAUUUAAGUGUUGAAGUCCUAACCUCUGGUACCUCAGAAUGUUACCUUACUUAUCCUGACUAGUUAAGAUGAGGGGGUGUCCUAAUCCAGUGUGACUGGUGUCCUUAUAAAAAUAGGAAAUUUGGGUGCAGACAGGCACACAGGGAGAACACCAUGUCAACACGAAGGCAGAAGUUGGAGUGAUGAGUCUACAAGCCAAGGAUUGCCAGCAAUUCAUCAGAGGCCAGGACAGCAGCCUGGGGCAGCCCCCUACAUGGUACCAACUCCAUCAACACCUUGAUCUCAGACUUCCAACCUCCAGAACUGUAUCACAGUCUGGAAGUCUGCUCACAGUCUCAAGGUUGGCAUAUCCCCUAGAGCCCCCAGACUCCUCAUCCCAUGGAGACCAACAUGGCCAGGGGAGGGCCAGAGCAGGGCCUUCUAAAUCACAGACCCCAGGGCAGGAGCCCCUCCGGUCUGGAUCUAAGGAUGGUAUUUUCAACAAUUCCUAAAUUUUUAUCCUAGGCUCUCCAAAUGGGAGUCUAAAGGUCUCAAAACAUGGUCCAGAAGAAGUAUGCAAAAAUGUAAAUUCCUAGGCCCCAACCCAGACCUAUGAAUCAGAUGAUCUGUAUGGGGGUUCAAGGAAUCUAUAUUAUUAAACAAUCUUCCUAAAUGACUUGUAUUCAUACUAAAGCUUGAGAAUUGCUAUCAAACAGCUAGAAGUUGGAGUGAAGGGUCCUGCCUUUCCCAUGAAAUUCAUCAACUCUAUGCCCUCAAAAGCUGGGCUCUUGGAUGAGCUGCUCUCCAUUCUAGAGACAUUACCAGCUAGGUAGCCUGCUGGUCCUCAGGAAGUUAAGCCCAGACUCUUCAGCACAGAAUCAGAUAAACACUGAUUACAUUGUACUCUACAGUUCUGAGAACACCAUUACUUAAUUCCCGGCAAGUUGCAAUGUAAUUGAGUAGGUUGUAGUUUUUUGGGUUUGGGGUUUUUUUGUUUUUUAAAUAUAUCAGGCGUAGUUAGCCAGCUUCCUAGAAACACCAUGAUCUCUUGGUGAAAAUUCCAGAAAUAUGCAUCACUUCCUAAUUAAAGUAGGGAAUUUUUAAAAAUUAUUAAACCACAUGCUUUCUAAUUCCUAUUGCCCUUUCUUUUCACCCACCAUUCAGCAGUCAGCAGACACUUUCUGGGUACAACAGGGUAGGACCAUCCAGGCAGAACAAAAGCCAUUGAUCAUGAACUACAGAGGAGAGUUUGGUAAAUGGACACCAGAAACCAUGGCCUACAGGGGCCUGGUUUUCUCCCAUCUAAAUACUAACUAGGCCCAACGCUAGUUGGGCUUAGCUUCCUAGAUCAGAUGAAAUUGGGCACAUUUAGGGUUGGGGGUAUGGCUCUCUAUUGUAAGUAGCAAGAGUUUGAGAGAAGAAAAAAGGGAUUUUCUUUUUUUUUUCUUUUAAAUUUUAGAGCAUUAACUUUAAACAUCAAGAUCCAAACCCCAAGGAUUCAGAGAAUCUUGUACUAUAAACCAUUUGUAUUAGUCAGGGUUCUCCAGAGAAACAGAACCCAUAGGAGGUAUAGAGAUAGAGAAAUAUGGAAUUGGCUCCCAUGAUUAUGGAGGCUGAGAAGUCCCUCAAUCUGCUGUCUGUGAGCUGGAGACCUAGGAAAGCUUAGCUGGUGGUACAAACCAGCCCAAGUGCAAAGGCCCAAGAACUAAGAGCACCAUUGUCAGAGAGCAGGAAAAGACAGAUGUCCCAGCUCAAAAAGAGAGAGCAAAUUCACCUUCCUUCCACCAUUUUAUUCCGUCCUGUUCCAUUCCUCAACAGGUUGGAUGAUGAGGGAGAUCUUUAUCCAUCUCAAGUUUUUUGUGCAAAUAUGGAAUACAAAUGAAAAAUACUUAAAGCACAUCAUCAUUGAUUUCCAACUUAGACUAGUUUAACUUCCCUUUUUCUUCUAUCCUGUCAGUUCCUUGAGGGAUCCUCUCUCCUUGUUCAUCUCUGCAUCUCUAGUAAUUAGCACAGUGCCAGGCACAUGGUAAUAUGGCUAAAACAGUGGAUUAUUGGUCUCCAACAUAAUUAAGCCCAUCCAAAAGAAAAACCAACCUCAUAAAUCUGCUUUGCAAAGUUCAUAAACAAUGGAUAUGCUAUGUCUCAAAGGUGCUGGCCAAAAAAAUUUAAGAACUUGGGAAUUAUGUGUUAUUUUGUUUGUUUUUUUCACCAAGCCUACUUUUCUGUCACAAGAGCCCAUAUCAACAACACACCCAUGUAUGUCCUUCUUUUUAUCUACUUUUCUCCAUGAAGUUUGUCACCAUCAACUGUUAAAACUGUAAAGAUUUGAUCAGCUAAAUAAGUGGUCUUUGAACUAAUUCCUCUCGUACUUCCUAAAGGAACUUUGAAAAACUAUGUAUCCCCUUGCACAUUUUCAAGCAGACACCUAAGAUUUUUCAUCAUAAAUUUGAAUAACUUCAAAAUAUGUACUUAUUAGCAUAUUGUAAAUAUUGAUUUUUAAAUAAAAUAUAUCACACUUUGUAUCCAAUGAACUCUAAACACCAUAGCAAUUUGACACUUACUCUCCCACCCUCAGUCUUAAAAAUUCACCAACAACCUCUUUUUUAACAACCGAAAAAUUUGUAUUAUUCCUUUUUAAAAUUUUGAAGUUUUCUGGAUUGAAUUAUUUUUAUAAUGAUUUUUAGUAUACAACUGACCAAAGCAACAUAAAUAUAUAGCAUAUUUUGAUAAAUAAUUAUAAAACAUAGCAAGUUAUGUGUUAUUGGAAAAUUAAACUAAAUGAAUGGAUCUUUUUAAAUUAGUUCGGGUAUCUGUGGCUGUUCCUAACUGUUAAAAUGAGACAGAGUCAGCGUCAAUUCUACUCUUAUUUUUUAUUUUUUUAGACGUAAGCCCUGAGAAAACUUGUUCAAUUAAAUAAGUAAUGAGAAUGUUAGGCAUUUUCUGAUAAAAAUGUCACUCUGUUAUUUGAAUGCCUUCUUGAUUAUAAGUCAAAAAGUACAUAGUGAUCUAUUAUCAAAAACUAUUGGCCUAUCUGUUGACAACUUGGGUAGGUCCUCCUUUAAUUUUAUUGAAAGCAAAGAAUUGGAAACUACCUAAUUUACAAAAAAAAGAAGAAGAAGAAGAAGAAGAAGAAAUGUGUUACCUAAUUAUUAGAGCUCACUUUCUAAGUUUCUAGGAAGUAUGACCCAAAAAAGCUUGGCCAAGACUUAUCACAUGGCUGUUGAUUAUACCAUCACCCUUUUACUUACAGGCGUCUUGCUUAUGGACCUAAAAAAGAUGAAACUGGAGUUAGAAACAAAAACAGAAAAUUGUAAAUUGUGCAUUUGGGGACUUUUCUCCUUGACUGUGAACAGAGACCUAUAUACAAUGCCAAAUUUCAUUUUUUAAGAAUGUCUCAAAAUGCAGAGUAAAGAAAUGACAGAAGGACAGACACUUGGGGAUAUUCAUGUAUAUACUAAUAACUUCUUCCCAAAUAUGACUGAAGACAAUACACUUAGCAGAACUGAAAUCAAUAUAUUAACAUCUGAAAGGGAGAAAUUAAUCCUAAUUCAAUCAAGCCAGUUUUCUAAAGUUCAGGUCAUUGCAUAUUAGAUUUACAUUUUGGAAAAAUUUUUUUUGCUUUUGAACCAAUAGAUUUCUGCUUUUGACAGUAUAGUUUAAAUACUUUAUGUAAGUUGACAGCAAGAGAAAGAACUUAGUCACCAAUAAGUAUAGUACAAGAUUAUGGAAAGCACAUUAAGGACCUCUAAGCACAUUAGUUAGAGUAUAAUCUGCAAUAUAUUCCUGUUAAAUUACUUAAUGCUAAUUCUGUGGACUGAAUUUCAUUCCCCCAAAAUUUAUAUUUUGAAGGCUUAACCCUUAAUGUGACUAUAUUUGGAAAUAGUGCCUGUGAAGAGGUGAUAAAGGUUAAAUGAGGUCACAGGCUGGGGUCCUACUUCACUAGGACUGGUGUCCUUUAAAGAAGAGGACAAGAUGCCAGAUGCUCUCGUUCAUGUGCCCCCUUUCUCUCUCUCUCUCUCUCGCUGGUUCACUCUCUCUCUCUCUCCUCCUGCCCCCCAUGUGAGGAUAUAAGGAGAAGGCAGCCAUCUGCCAGCCAGGAAGAGAGCCCACACCAGAACUUGACCAUGCUGACACCCUAAUCUUGGAUUUCUAGCCUCCAGAGUUAUGAGAAAAUAAAUUUCUGUUAUUUAAACCACCUGGUGCAUGGUAUUUUGUUAUGGCAACACAAGCUGACUUAUAUACCUAAUAACUACAUGGCAGGAAUUAAUACAUGAACGGGAAAGUUGUUCAUGAGUGACAGUGAGCAGGAGACCUGUACCUUCAUCAGAAAUGAAUAUAGAUUUCAUAUUUUGCUAACUUUUAGCAAAAAUUAAUGAAAGUGUUUCUCCUAUAAAUCUGAGUAAAUAUUUAAGAAAAUACAAAAUACUAACUUACCUCUAAUAUGUGUUUCUUUUGUUAGAAAAUGUAGCCUUGAUAUGUUGGAAGAAACUGUAGUCUUUUCACCUUGAAGUUAUGCAAAUUACACUCCUGAG
rnacentral:lncRNA from 1 species